UCCUACGGGAGGCAGCAGUCGGGAAUAUUGUACAAUGGGCGAAAGCCCGAUCCAGCAAGCCCGCAGGUAGGAAGAAGGUCUUCGGAUUGUAAAGUCCUUUGAGAGGAAGAUAUGAUGACGGUACCCGCAGAAUAAUCUCCGGCUAACUUCGUGCCAGCAGCCGCGGUAAUACGAAGGGGGCUAGCGUUGCUCGGAAUGACUGGGCGUAAAGGGCGCGUAGGCGGACGGCACAGUCAGGCGUGAAAUCAGGGGGCUCACCCUGGGGACUGGGUCUGAGACGUGUUGUCUUGAGUAUGGAAGACGGUUGUGGAAUUUCCAGUGUAGAGGAGAAAUUUGUAGAUAUGGGAAAGCACCCCGGUGGAGAAGGCGGCAACGUGGUCCAUUACUGACGGUCAGGCGAGAAAGCGUGGGGAGCAAACAGGAUUAUAUACCCUGGUAGUCCACGCUGUAAACGAUGUGUGCAAGAUGUUGGGGUGUCAAGCACUUCAGUGUUGCAGCUAACGCGGUAAGCACACCGCCUGGGGAGUACGGCCGCAAGGUUGAAACUCAAAUGAAUGACGGGG
rnacentral:rRNA from 1 species